rnacentral:rRNA from 1 species
GUCCACGCCGUAAACGAUGCGUGCUAGACGUUGGGUGGUUCGCCAUCCGAUGUCGCAGCUAACGCGUUAAGCACGCCGCCUGGGGAGUACGGCCGCAAGGUUAAAACUCAAAGGAAUUGACGGGGGCCCCGCACAAGCGGUGGAGCAUGUGGUUUAAUUCGAUGCAACGCGAAGAACCUUACCUGCCCUUGACAUGGGGAGUGUGACCCUCGGAGACGGGGGUCUUCAGUUCGGCUGGCUCCCACACAGGUGCUGCAUGGCUGUCGU